rnacentral:rRNA from 1 species
AUUGAACGCUGGCGGCAGGCCUAACACAUGCAAGUCGAGCGGCGCGGCGGACGGGUGAGUACUGCCUAGGAAUCUGCCUGGUCGUGGGGGAUAACGUUCGGUAACGGGCGCUAAUACCGCUACCUAUCAGAUUCGCAUAGGUCGGAUUUGCUAGUGCGUGGGGUAAUGGCAUACCAAGGCGACGACCCGUAGCUGUUCUGAGAGGAUGAUCAGCCACACUGGAACUGAGACACGGUCCAGACUCCUACGGGAGGCAGCAGUGGGGAAUAUUGGACAAUGGGCGAAAGCCUGAUCCAGCCAUGCCGCGUGUAUGAAGAAGGUCUUCGGGUUGUAAAGCACUUUAAGUUGGGAGGCGUUACCAACAGAAUAAGCACCGGCUAACUUCGUGCCAGCAGCCGCGGUAAUUC